AGCCAGGCGUGCUUCCAUGCGCAGGUAGUCCCAGCUACUCAGGAGGCUGAGGCAGGAGAAUCACUUGAACUCGGGGCAGAGGUUGCAGUGAGCCAAGAUCACGCCACUGCACUCCAGCCUGGGCAAGAGACUGAGACUCCAUCUUGGGGGGAAAAAAAAAACAUAUUCAACUGGAAUACAAACAGGUAAGUACUUAGUUACAAUGACACAGGAAGUUUUCAAGGAAACUGGGUGCCAAAACCUGUUACCAAACAAAAACAAAAAAAAUGAUCAAAUGUUUCUUCAUCUUAUUUUUCCCCCUCAAUCAACUACAAUUAGACUUCUAUUUCCACCACUCCAAUGAACGGUUCUACUGGAAGUCACCAAUAAUCCCUAGGUUGUCAAAUCCUGUGAGUACUUCUCUGUUACGUGACCUCUAUAUAGCAUUCAACAGAGCUCACCACUCCGUUCUAUUUUUUUUUUUUUUUUGAGAAAGUGUCUAGCUCUGUCACAUGGAGUGCAGUGGUGCAAUUAGGCCGGAGUGCAGUGGCACAAUCACCACUUACUGCAGCCUCAACCUUCCAGACUCAAGCAAUUCUCCCACCUCAGCCUCCUGAAUACCUGGGACUGCCAUAGGCAUGUGCCACCACAAACAGCUAAUUUUCUAUUUUUUGUAGACACAGGAUCUUACUAUGUUACCCAGGCUGACCACUCCCUUCUUGAAACACUUCUUUACUUGCCUUCUAAAACAUCACUUUCUGGGUUUUCCACCUAUCUCACUAGCUAUUCCUUCUCUUUCAAAUUGCUCUUCUCUAGCCACAAACCAUCUGUAGAUGACCUCCUGAUUAAAUACCAUGACUUCAAAUUCUAUCUAUUUCAGCUCAGAAUUCUCCUAGGAAUGCCAGGCAUUUCUAUCCAACUGCCUAUCUAAUUUCUCCAUUUGGAUACCUAACAAGUAUCUCAAACUUGGCAGGACCAAAAGAGAAUUUUUUUUUUUUUUUUUUUUGAGACGGAGUCUUGCUCUGUCGCCCAGGCUGGAGUGCAGUGGCACAAUCUCGGCUCACUACAAGCUCUGCCUCCCAGGUUCAUGCCAUUCUCCUGCCUCAGCCUCCCAAGUAGCUGGGACUACAGGCGCCUGCCACCACACCCAGCUCAUUUUUUGUAUUUUUAGCAGAGACAGGGUUUCACCGUGUUAGCCAGGAUGGUCUCGAUCUCCUAACCUCAUGAUCCACCCGCCUCGGCCUCCCAAAGUGCUGGGAUUAAAGGCGUGAGCCACCACGCCCGGCCGAGAAUUUUUUUUUUUUUUUUAAUUUUAGACAAGUUAUCACUCUGUUGCCAAGGCUGAAGUGCAAUGGCACAAUCACAGCUCACUGCAACCUCCACCCCCUGGGCUCAAGCCAUCCUCCCACCUCAGCCCCUCAAGUAGUUGGGACCACAGGCAUGUACUACCACACCUGGCUAAUUUUCUUAUUUUUUUGUAGACACAGGGUCUCUCUAUCUUGCCGAGGCUCGUCUGAAACUCCUGGGCUCAGGUGAUCCUCUUGUCUCAGACCCCCAAAGUGCUGGGUUACAGGCAUGAGCCACCACUGUCCAAGAAUUUUUGACAAUUAUAUUCUGCUAGUCUUACCCAUAUCAAUUAACAGCAACAACCAUUUACCUCCCUGGUUGCUCCAGUCAAUAAUAUAGAAGUUAUCCAUGAUUCCUUAUUACCUCACUUCCAAAGGUGUAACAAUCCCAAAGCAAGCCCUGUCAACUUCACUUCCAAAAGAUAUGCCAAAUCUGUCAUCUUUCCACAGCUUUUAUACCAUCACCCCAGUCCAAGUUACCAUAAAGUCUCAUUUGAUUCGUGCAAAGAGCCUUGUUACUGGUCUCCUUGCUUCCUUCUACAACCCAUUUCUUUUUGAGGUGGAGUUUCGCUCUUGUUGACCAAGCUGGAUUGCAAUGGCAUGAUCUCAGCUCACCGCAACCCAGGUUCAAGCAAUUCUCCUGCCUCAGCCUCCCGAGUAGCUGGGAUUACAGGCAUGUGCCACCACGCCCAGCUAAUUUUGUAUUUUUAGUAGAGAUGGGGUUUCUCCAUGUUGGUCUGGCUGGUCUCGAACUCCUGACCUCGGUGAUCCGCCCGCCUUGGCCUCCCAAAGUGCUGGGAUUACAGGCGUGAACCACUGUGCCCGCACUACAAUCCAUUUCUAACAUAGCAACUGAACAUUCUUUCUAGUCACAAAUCGACUCAUAUCAUACUCGUACUUAAAAACUCCAAAGGAGGCUGGGUGCAGUGGCUCACGCCUGAAAUCCCAGCACUUUGGGAGGCCAAAGCAGGUGAAUUGCCUGAGCUUAGGAGUUUGAGAACAGACUGGGCAACAUGGUGAAAUCUGGUCUCUACCAAAAAUACAAAAAAAAUUAGCCGGACGUAGAGGCGUGCACCUAUGGUCCCAGCUACUUGAGAGGCUGGGGUGGGAGGAUCCCUUAGCCCGGUGGUGGAGGUUACGGGGAACCAAGAUUGCACCACUGCACUCCAACCUAGGUGACAGAGUGAGAUCCCGUCUCAAAAAAAAAAAAAAAAAAAAAACACUCCAAAGGAAACGAAACACCUUACCCUAGCUUCCAAAUCUCACUGUCACCUAGCCUCUGCCUUUGUCAUCUCGUCAUUCUCUCCCUCAUUCACCGUAUUCAAACAACACUGGCCUGAUUUCUGUUCCUUCAACAUACCAAGCUCAUUCCUCCUUAGGUGUUCUGCACUAUAAUGUUUGAUCUGCUGAUCUUCAUAUACUCCUAGAUCUUAAAUGCCAUAUCCUUAGAGAGAUAUUCUCCCAAUAUAAAGUAGCUAUCAAUUCAUACUAUCACAUCCUCUAUUUUUCUGUACAGUGUUUAUCAUUAACUGAUUUUUAUUUAUUUUGUUUUAUUUUUGAGAUGGAGUCUCGCUCUGUCUCGCAGGCUGGAAUGCAGUGGCGCGAUCUUGGCUCAUUGCAACCUCUGCCUCCUGGGUUCAAGAAUUCUCCUGCCUCAGCCUCCCAAGUAGCUGGGAUUACAGGCACCCACCACCAUGCCCGCCUAAUUUUUGUAUAAAAGUAGAGAUGGGGUUUUGUCAUGUUGGCCAGGCUGGUCUUGAACUCCUGGCCUCAAGUGAUCUGCCCACCUCGGCCUCCCAAAGUGCUGGGAUUACCGUGCCCGGCCAUUAACUGUUUUUUUUGUUGUUUUUUUGAGACUGAGUCUUGCUCUGUAGCCCAGGCUGGAGUGCAGUGGCACGAUCUUGGCUCCCUGCAACCUCUGCCUGCCGGUUCAAGCGAUUCUCCUGCCUCAGCCUCCUGAAUAGCUGGGACUACAGGCUCAUGCCACCACACCCAGCUAAUUUUUGGUAUUUUUAGUAGAGACAGGGUUUCACCAUGUUGGCCAGGCUUGUCUCGAACUCCAGACCUCAAGUGAUCUGCCUGCCUCGGCCUCCUAAAGUGCUGGGUUUACAGGCAUAAGCCACCCACGCCCGGCCAUUAACUGAUUUUUAAAAAGCUGUCUGUUGCUGGACAGGUUGGCUCACGCCUGUAAUCCCAACACUUUGGGAGGCCGAGGCCAGUGGAUCACCUAAGGUCAGGAGUUCAUGACCAGCCUGACUAACAUGGUGAAACCCUGUCUCUACUAAACACAAAAAAAACAGCCAGGCGUGGUGGUGCAUGCUUGUAAUCUGAGCUGCUUGGGAGGCUGAGACAGGAGAAUCGCUUAUACCUGGGAGGCAGAGGUUGUGGUGAGCCAAGAUGGCGCCAUUGCACUCCAGCCUGGGCAACAAGAGCAGAACUCCGUCUCAAAAAAAAAAAAAAAAAAAAAAUCUGUUUGUUGUCUGUUUGCCCUCAUUGGAAUGUAAGCUCCAUAACAGCAGGGACUUUGUCUAUCUUGUUUUGUGUACUGCCAAUGCUGAAAACAUAGUAGAAACUCAAUACAUUUGGCAGGCUUAGUUGUUAGGUGCUGAAGUUAAAAAGGUGAAAAAGGGCCAGGCACUCACCACCUGUAAUCCCAGCACUUUGCGAGGCUGAGGUGGGAAGAUCACUUGAGGCCAGGAGCUUGAGACCAGCAUUGGCAAUAUAGCAAGACCUUGUCUUUGCCAAAAAAAUUUUUUUUUUCAUUAGCCAGGCACAGUGGCUAGUGUCUAUUGUCCUAGCUACUUGGGAGGCUGACACGAGAGGAUCAUUUAGGCCCAGGAGUUUGAGGUUGCAGUGAGCUAUAACAGCACCACUAUACUCUAGCCUGGUGGAGAAUUAAACUCUGUCUCAAAAAAAGAAAAAAACAGCCUGGACAACAUAUUGAAACCCCAUCUCCACAAAAAAUUUUAAAAAUUAACUUGCACGCUGGCUUGCAUCUGUAGUCCUAGCUACUUGGGAGGCUGAGGCAGGAGGAUUGCUUGAGCCCAAGACUUUAGAAGCUGCAGUGAGCUAUGACAGUGCCAUGGCACUCCAAGCCUGGGUAACACAGUGAGAUCUUGUCUAUUGAAAAAAAAAGAAAAAGUGAAAAAGGAAUAACCCCUACCUACAAAAAGCUCACAAUCCAGAUGAGGAAACAGAAUAGCAAUUAAAUAAUAAAUGUAAGGAACAUGCAUUCUAUUUAAUAGAAUGAGAUGCUGUCAUUUAAACAAUGUAAAAAAUAAUAAUAAAGGUAAUGUUAGCAGGAUAGUAAAAUGUCAGAGUAGCCCAUCAGCAAGAGUGAUUAAUACUGCCUUGGGAACAGGGAAGACUUCACAGAAGAAAUUAACUAUGAGCUAAAUCCUAAAGCUUAAUUAGGAGAGUCUUAGUUAUGUUUGUUCAGAUAAUUGUUUAUGUUUGUCUAUUUUGGAAGAAAUGUCCUUGGAAGAAAAGAAAAUAGCUUGAGCAAAAAUAUAAUAAAGUGAGGAAGGAAGAUGGAAUCAAGCAUCUGCUAUGUAUCAGGCACUAGGGUAAUGAAGGGCUUUAAAGGGAAAGGGCAUAAGUAGUCUUACAACUUAGGAAGAUCAUUCUUGUGGCAGUGUGGUGGACAGACUAGAGGGGUGAUAAGCCUUGAGACAUGCAGAUUAGUUAGGAGGCUACUGUAACUGUCAGAGUUAAGAAAUAAAAAAGGUCUCAUCCAAGAAUUUGGCAAUAUGGUAUAAAUGAAAAAAUGCAGAUUUAGGAGAACUUCAACAUUAAAAUCAGACCUGGGACCAACCAGAUAUGUCGGAUAAGGGGUAAGGAGAAAUCAAGAUCAAAUCCAAUUUUUUUUUUUUUUUUUUUUUUUUUUUUUUUUGAGACAGAGUUUCACUCUUGUUGCCCAGGCUGGAGUGCAAUGGUGCGAUCUCGGCUCACAGCAACCUCCGCCUCCCGGGUUCAAGCAAUUCUCCUGCCGCAGCCUCCUGAGUAGCUAGGUAAGAGGGAAACCUUGUCUCAAAAAAACAAAGUGAGCUGGGCACAGAGGCUCACACCUGCAACCCCAGCAGUUUGGGAGGCUGUGGUGACCAGAUCACUUGAUCCCAGGAGUUCACGACCACCCUGGGCAACAUGGCAAAACCCCAUCUCUAAAAAAAAAUACCCACAAAAAAUUAGCCAGGCAUGGUGGCGCACCAUCUGUAGUGCCAGCUACUCAAGAGGCUUAGGUGGGAGGAUCGCUUGAGCCCAAAGGCAUAGGUUGCAGUGAACUGUGAUUGUGCCACUGCACUCCAGCCUGAGCUACAGAGAAGACUCUGUCACGAAAAAAAAAAAACAAAAAACAUACAACUGCAUUUCUAAGUAAAAUAAAUUCAAAAGGAUUUAAAUUUUCUAGACUUUUCACUUUUAAUUAUGUAAAAUGUAUUAAAAAAGAAAAUUAAGCUAAAAAUUCAAAUGUAUUUAGGGAAUUACAUUUCUGGAAUUAGUCUUUAAAGUCUCUCUUCUCUGCCCCAGACAAAAAUAACAUUCUUUUAUUGUUCAGUUCUAAGAGUUCUCAUAAAUGCAUAGUUGUGUAACCACAACUACAAUCAAAAUACGGAACAGUCAUGUCACCCCCAAAAAAUUUCCUCAUACUACCUCUUUGCAGUCAACUCUCUACUUUUUUUUUUUUUUAAUUGAGACGGAGUCUCGCUCUAUCACCGGGCUGAAGUGCAGUAUGGCGCCAUCUCGGCUCACUGCAACCUCCGACUCCCGGGUUCAAGCGACUGUCCUGCCUCAGCGUCCCGAGUAGCUGGGACUACAGGUGCGCGCCACCAUGCCCGGCUAAUUUUUGUAUUUUUAGUAGAGAUGGGAUUUCACUACAUUGGCCAGGCUGAUCUCGAACUCCUGACCUCGAGAUCUGCCCGCCUCGGCCUCCCAAAGUGCUGGGAUUACAGGCGUGAGCCAUCACGCUUGGCCACCCUCUCUCUACUCUUUUUUUUUUUUUGAGACGUGGUUUCACUCUUGUUGCCUCAGCUGGAGUGCAAUGGCGCCAUCUUGGCUCACCGCAACCUCCGCCUCCCGGGUUCAAGCUGCGCCACCACGCCCAGCUAAUUUUGUAUUUUUAGUAGAGACAGGGUUUCUCCAUGUUGCUCAGGCUGGUCUCAAACUCCCGACCUCAGGUGAUCCGCCCCAACUCGGCCUCCCAAAGUGCUGGGAUUACAGGCAUAAACCACUGCGCCCGGCCCACUGUCUCUCUAGUCUUACCCAAAGGCAAUCACUGAUCUGUUCCCCACUGUCCUUAUAGUUGAGUUUUCCCCAGAACAUCAUACAAAUGCAAUCAUACAGACCAUAGCCUUUUGAGUUUUGUUUCUUUUACUAAGCAUAAUACCAAUGAGUUUCAUUCAUGUUAUUGCAUAUAUGAAUAGUUCCUUUUUAUUGCUGAGUAGUAUUCCAUUGUGUAGAUACAUUAGUUUGUUUAUCCAUUCCCCAGCUGAGAGUCAUUCAGGUUGUUUCCAGUUUGUGGUGACUAUAAAUAAAGCUGCUGUAAACAGUCACAUACAAGUUUUUUUGUGAACACAGAUUUUUAUUUCACUUGGAUAAAUACUUAGGUCAUUUUUUUUAAAUUUUUUUUUUUGAGACCGAGUCUCACUCUGUCUCCCAAGCUGGAGUUGGAGUGCAGUGGCGCGAUCUCGGCUCACUGCAACCUUCACCUCCCAGGUUCAAGAAAUUCUCCUGCCUCAGCCUCCCGAGUAGCCGGGACUACAGGCGCAAGCCACCAUGCCUGGCUAAUUUUUUGUAUUUUUAGUAGAGAUGAGGUUUCACUGUGUUAACCAGGAUAGUCUCCAUCUCCUGACCUCGUGAUCCACCCACCUCGGCCUCCCAAAGUGCUGGGAUUACAGGAGUAAGCCACUUCGCCCAGCCUCUUUAUACAUUCUUUUUUUUUUUUUUUUUUGAGAGCGUGUCUCACUCUGUUGCCCAGGCUGGAGUGCAGUGGCGCGAUCUUGGCUCACCACAAGCUCCGCCUCCCAGGUUUACGCCAUUCUCCUACCUCGGCCUCCCAAGCAGCUGGGACUACAGGUGCCCGCAACCACGCCUGGCUAAUUCUUUGUUUUUUAGUAGAGAAGCGGUUUCACCGUGUUAGCCGGGAUGGUCUUGAUCUCCCAACCUCGUGAUCCAGCUGCCUCGGUCUCCCAAAGUGCUGGGAUUACAGGUGUGAGCCACCACACCCGGCCUAUACAUUCUUAAUAUGAGCUGUAUGUCUGAUACAUAAUUGGCGAACAUUUCUCCCAGUGUGUUGCUUAUAUUUUCAUCUACUUGACAGUCUUCUGCAAAGCAAAAGUUUUUAAUUUUGAUGAAAUCCAAUUUAUCAACUUUUUAUUUUUAUGGAUCUUGCUUUUGGUGUCAUAUCUAAGAACUCUUUGCCUAACUCAAUGUAAUAAGGAUUUUCUCUUAUCUUCUUUUAAAUCUCAUAGUUUAGGCCGGGCAUGGUGGCUAACACCUGUAGUCCCAGCACUGUGGAAGGCUGAGGUAAGCAGAUGGCUUGAGCCCAGGAGUUUGAGACCAGCCUGGGCAACAUGGCAAAACCCCAUCUCUAUUAAAAAAAAAAUAAAAUAAAAUAAAGUUAAAAUAAAAUAAUAAAAAUAUUUUAUAAUUUUACAAAUUACAUUUAGGUGUAAUUGUUGAGAUGACUAUUCUUUCUCCACUGAAUUGCCUUUGCACCUCGGUCAAAUAUCAAUAGCCAUACUUAAUAGUGUGAAUGUUUCUUUUUUUUUUUUUUUUUUUUUUUGAGACGGAGUCUCGCUCUGUCACCUUGGCUGGAAUGUAGUGGAAUGGUCUCGGCCACUGCAACCUCUGCCUCCUGGGUUCAAGUGAUUCUCCUGCCUCAGCCUCCUGAGUAGCUGGGACUACAGGUGCUCACCACCAUGCCCCACUAAUUUUUGUAUUUUUAGUAGAGAUGGGGUUUCACCAUGUUGGCCAAGCUGGUCUCAAACUCCUGACCUCAAGUGAUCCCCCACCUCGACCUCCCAAAGUGCUGGGAUUACAGGCAUAAGCCACCGUGCCCGGCCUGAAUCUAUGUCUGAACCUCUGUUCUGUUCAUUGAUCUAUGUAUCUAUCCUUCUGCCAAUACCACACUGUCUUGAUUACUGUAGCUCUUUAUUAAGUCUUGAAAUCAGAUAGUAUGAGUCUUCCAACUCUGUUGUCCUUUUUCAAAAUUGUUUUGGCUAUUUUAGUCCCUUUGCCUUUCCAUAUAAAUUUUAGAAUUAGCUUGUCAAAGGCUUUUUUUUUUUUUUUUUUUUGAUACAGGGUCUCACUCUGUCACCCAGGCUGGAGUGCAGUGUUGCGAUCUUGGUUCACUGCAACCUCCGCCUUCUGGGCUCAAGCAAUCCUACUGCCUCAGCCUCCAAAGUACCUGGGAUUACAGGUGUGAGCAACUAUGCCAGGCUAAUUUUUGUAUUUUUUUGUAGAGAUGGGAUUUCACCAUGUUUCCCAGGCUGGUCUCGAACCCUGGGAACUCCUAGGCUCAAGCAAUACACCCACCUCUGCCUCCCAAAGUGCUGAGAUUACAGGCAUGAACCACCAUGCCUGACCAUGUCAAAGACUUUUUAAACUUUCCCACAAAGUGUCUACUUUUAAGUAGGGGUUAGCUUCCUAGAUUUACUUAAAGAAAAAAACAAUGCUGGGCCGAGUGCAGUGGCUCACGCCUGUAAUCCCAGCACUUUGGGAGGCCGAGGAGGGCAGAUCACAAGGUGAUGAGAUCGAGACCAUCCUGGCUAACACGGUGAAACCCCGUCUCAACUAAAAAUACAAAAAAAUUAGCCAGGCGUGGUGGCAGGCACCUGUAGUCCCAGCAACUCAGGAGGCUGAGGCAGAAGAAAGGCAUGAACCCGGGAGGCGGAGCUUGCCGUGAGCCGAGAUCGCGCCACUGCACUCCAGCCUGGGCAACACAGCAAGACUCCAUCUCAAAAAAAAUAAAAUAAAAAUAAAAAAUAAUAAAGAAAAAAACAAUGGAGGUAUUAGGAGGAUUAGAAAUCUAAUAUCUAUUUUUCAAGAUUCUAAAGUUUUACUUGCACAGCUGUUCUGAGAUUUCCUGCAGUUGUCCAGAAGAAAAGAAAAAUGUUUUAUUUAAAGAUAUGUAUUAUUGUUUAGUACAACAGAGUUGAAAACCCAUUUUUCAUAAAAGACAAGCUAUUCAUUCCAAACAGAUAAAAUGUUAAGCUUCUUGCACUUUACAAACAAUGGUCCCUCUGCUGCCAAUGAUCUUCCUCUGACUCUUCACCUAAAUCGUACACAUCCUUCAGGUCUUACUUUGGACAAUCCUCCAUGCACAAGCCUUCCUUGAUUCUCCCCAAAUAUGGGUUAAGGGUUAACAUAUUUCCAUUACACCCUAAAGACCUCUAUCAUCACUCUUAACUCUAUAAUUGAGAGUUAACUUGUUUCUCCCAUCAGGACAUAAACUCUGGGUAUGAAGGAGAAAACACUAAAUAUUUACAUUUUAGCUCCUAGCAGAGACAGAGAAAUACAUAAGUCUGUUUUGAAUGACCAAUUGCUUUGAAUAACAGCAAGAAGGGGGAGAAGUUGAAAAUAGGAUGUCCUACCUUGCAAACAAGCUACAAAAAGAAUCCUCCAAAAAAGUGGAAAGUGAUACCAGUUAAAAAAGAAAGGCUGGGCACAGUGGCUCACACCUAAAAUCCUAGCACUUUGGGAGGCUGAGCCAGGAGGAUCACUUGAGGCCAGGAUUUUGAGACCACCCUGAGCAACACAGUUAAGACUCUGUCUCUAUUAAAAAAAAAAAAAAAAAAAAAAAAGGAAAGGGGCCAGGCACGGUGACUCAGGCCUGUAAUCCCAGCACUUUGGGAGGCUGAGGCAGGCGGAUAACAAGGUCAGGAGUUCGAGACCUGGUGAAACCUGGUCUCAACUAAAAAUACAAAAAAUUAGCCAGGCAUGGUGGCACGCGCCUGUAGUCCCAGCUACUUGGGAGGCUGAGGCAGGAGAAUACCUUGAACCCAGGAAGUGGAGGUUGCAGUGAGCUGAGAUGGCCCCACUGCACUCCAGCCUGGGCAACAGAGGGAGACUCCCUCUCAAAAAAAUAAAUAAAUAAAUAAGUUCCACUGGGCAUGGUGGCUCAUGCCUGUUAUCCCAGUAUUUUGGGAGGCCGAAGCAGGUGCAUCACCUGAGGUCAGGAGUUCGAGACUACCCUGGCCAACAUGGUGAAACCCCGUCUCUACUAAAAAUACAAAAAUUAGCUAGGCGUGGUGGUGUGCGCCUGUAGUCCCAGCUACUUGGGAGAGGCAGGAGAAUUCCUUGAACCCAGGAGACUGAGGUUGCAGUCAGCUGAGAUCGUGCCACUGUACUCCAGCCUGGGCAACAGAGUGAGACUUUGUCUCAAAAAAAAAAAAAAAAAAAAGAAGUUCACAGAAAAAAAAAAUUGAAAAAUAAGGAAAAGGACUAGCACUGUACUAUGAAGUAGUAGUUGUCAUGCCACAUUCCUGCAAAACUAAUCUCUCAAAAAGAUACGAAUGAACAACAUAUAAAGCAACUGAAGCUUGGACUCACAGAGUCAUCAAGCUGACUUUCACUACUAAUAUGCUAAUGACUACUAAAUCUGUAUCUCCCUUCUGAACCUUUCUACUCAAGACCUAGGUAUAUCUGGAAGCCUAUUGGAUUUCCCAGAUACCUCAAAUCCUAUAUACCAAAAUCAAACUUAUUUCCUUCAAAUGUAAUACCCUCUUUUACUCUUGUAUUCCGUAACUUGGUUAAUGACAUCACAUUCCACUUAGUUGUCCAUGCCAGCAAUUUCAACUCCAUCUUUGACAACUCCUUCUUCUUUACCCGUCCUCCAAUAUAAAGUCAAUGAGAUCCUUUUAGUUACUCUCCUAAAAAGUUCUCCAAUCAGUCUACAAUUCCACCAUGACUACUGUACCUGAUUUCGUCAAUCUCUCAAGUCAUCACACCAUUCUCCCAACCAACUAGUCUCCCUACAAUCAAUUGUGCCUUUUAAAGUCUAACUUCUAUACUGUCAACAGAGUUACUUCUACUUAAAUAGUGAUCUAAACAUGUUCCUUACCUGGUUUAAAAACUCUUCCAUGACUCCUCAGCACCUACAAAAUAAAAUUCAGACCCCUUACUAAGGUCAUCCAUAACUGGAUUCCAACCCAUCUCUCACCUCACUUUCUUCUACUCCUUCCUCAUACCCCAUGAUCCUGCCACAUUAAACUAGUCCACAUGUCCAUACUUCUUGCACAUCUGUAUCUUUGUACAAGCUAUUUUCUGCACUUCAAACAGUAACUUUUCCAAUCCUUUUUUUUGCUGACUCAGCCAAAUUGUAUUCCUCCUUCAAGACCCAACUGACUCUUUCUCUAGGAAGUCUUCUCUAACUUUCCCCUCCCACUACAAGGCAGAACUAAUGUUCCCAUAGCACUUAGUACAGAUCUCUAUUACAGCACUUAUUGUACUGACUCAGAACUAUUUAUGUGUUGGUCUCUAAUUAAAAUGUGGCUGGUCCGAGUGCAGUAGUGUUUACAAGUAAUUGAUAUAAGAAGUUACAAAUUUCUUUGUUGCUUCUUCAUUCCCACUGCUUCACUUGGCUAGCCUUAAAAAAAAAGAAAAAAAGAAAAAAAAAAAGUCAAUUUUUUUUUUUUUUCCCUGAGAUGGAAUCUCACCCUGUUGCCCAGGCUGGAGUGCAAUGGCGUGACCUCAGCUCACUGCAACCUAUGCCUCCCAGGUUGAAACGAUUCUCCUGCCUCAGCCUGCUGAGCAGCUGGGAUUACAGGCGCCCACCACUACACUCAGCUAAUUUUGUGUGUGUGUGUGUGUGUGUGUGUGUGUGUGUGUGUGUGUGAUGGAGUCACGCUCUAUCGCCCAGGCUAGAGUGCAGUGGCGUGAUCUCAGCUCACUGCAACUUUCACCUCCCGGGUUCAAGCAAUUCUCAAUCCUAGCCUCCUGAGUAGCUGGGAUUACAGGCACCUGCCACCACGCCUGGCUAAUUUUUAGUAGAGACGGGGUCUCACCAUCUUGGCCAGGAUGGUAUUGAACUCCUGACCUCAUGAUCCGCCCACCUCGGCCUCCCAAAGUGCUGGGAUUACAGGUGUAAGCCACUGCAUCUGGCCAACAGUGAACUCUUUAAAAAUGAUUUUGUCAUUUAUAUUUUAAUUCCCUCCCAGCGCCUAGUACAAGACAUAACACAUGGUAGACACUUAAAUAUUUGCUGAAGUUGACUGCUGAAAGGAUCAACUCCAACAUUUUUUCAAUGAGGCCACAGAAUCCAAAAAGCUUACGAUUCAAGCCUAGUUAUGGCUUACUGGUAGAAAAAAAGACAUUACACAAAUUCGCAAAUUGAUACUUAUGUUGUUUCUAGAUUUGCAUAUUUUUCCCAACUAGUUUCAGGGUUAGUUCCCAGAAAAUUGGUAACCAAGUAAAUCUUUUAAACAAAACAGUUUUUUGUUGUUGUUUUAAAUAGGGUCUCACUCUGUCGCCCAGGCUGGAGUGCAAUAGCGAGUUUACAGCUCAGAUUACUGCUCACUACAUCCUUCAUCUCUUGUACUCAAGUGAUCCUCCCACCUCAGCCUCCCAAGUACCUGGGACUAUAGGUGCAUGCCACCACACCCGGCUCAUUUUUUUUUAUUUUUUUGUAAAGAGAGGGUUUCACCUUAUUGCCCAGGCUGGUCUGGAACUCCUGGGCUCAGGUGAUCCUCCUGCCUAGGCCUCCCAAAGUGCUGAUAUUACAGGCAUGAACCACCAUGCCAACUUAAAUCACUUCUUAUUUUUAUUAUAUAUUUUUUUCAGAGUCUCCCUCUUGUUGUUGCCCGGGCUGGAGUGCAGUGGCAUGAUCUCGGCUCACUGAGACCUCCGCCUCCCGUGUUCAAACAAUUCUCCUGCCUCAGCCUCUCAGGUAGCUGGGAUUACAGGCGUCCACCACCACACCCAGCUAAUUUGUGUGUUUUUAGAAGAGAUGGGGUUUCACCAUAUUGGCCAGGCUGGUCUCAAACCCCUGACCUUGUGAUCCACCCGCCUCGGCCUCCCAAAGUGCUGGGAUUACAGGCAUAAGCCACCGCGCCUGGCCCUAAAUCACUUCUUAAAUGACCUAUAUUUUCCCAUGAAAUAGUAUGAUCCAGUGUUGUACCAAACCACCAUUUAAUAAUUGAGCCAGCAUACGCCUGUAAUCCCAGCACUUUGGGAGGCCAUGAGGCGGGCUUGUAGCAGGACAAGCCACAGACAAAACCCCUCAGAUGCUGAGUUAAAGAAGGAAGGGCUUUAUUCGGCCGGGAGCUUCGGCAAGACUCACGUCUCCAACAACCGAGCUCCCCAAGUGAGCAAUUCCUGUCCCUUUUAAGGGAUCACAACUCUAAGGGGGUCUGCGUGAGAGGGUCGUGAUCGAUUGAGCAAGCAGGGGGUACGUGACUGGGGGCUGCAUGCACCAGUAAUUGGAACGGAACAGAACAGGAUGGGGAUUUUCACAGUGCUUUUCUAUACAAUGUCUGUAAUCUAUAGAUAACAUAACCUAUUAGGUCAGGGGUCGAUCUUUAACUACCAGGCCCAGGGUGUGGCGCCGGGCUGUCUACUGGUGGAUUUCGUUUCUGCCUUUUAGUUUUUACUUCUUUCUUUGGAGGCAGAUAUUGGGCAUAAGACCCAUAUUGGGCAUAAGAGGGGUGGGCUCCUCCCUUAAGCUGAUCACCUGAGGUCAGGAGUUCGAGACCAGCCCAGCCAACAUGGCAAAACUCCAUCUCUACUAAAAGUACAAAAAUUAGCCAGGCAUAGUGGCGGGCACCUGUAAUCCCAGCUACUCAGGAGGAUAAGGCAGGAGAAGCUUGAACCCGGGCAGUGGAGGCUGCAGUGAGCCAAGAUCGCACCCCUGCACUCCAGCCUGGGUGACAAGAGUGAGACUCCAUCUCAAAAAGUAAAUAAAUAAAUACAUAAAUUUAAAGGCCAGGUGCGGUGGCUCACGCCUGUAAUCCCUGCACUUUGGAAGGCUGAGACGGGUGGAUCACGAGGUCAGGAGAUCGAGACCAUCCUGGCUAACACAGUGAAACCUCGUGUCUACUAAAAACACAAAAAAUUAGCUGGGUGUGUUGGUGGGCGCCUGUAGUCCUAGCUACUAGGGAGGCUGAGGCA
rnacentral:lncRNA from 10 species